GGUUAAGCUUGCUAAAUGUCAACUGGAAUUUUGUACUAUAAUAACCUGCAACUUGGUUCCAAAAUCAGCCAUGUUUUUGACAAAUAUGCUUUCCUGGCUGAAAACCAUGAAUGACCCAGAAUAGUUCAUAUCUUUGGAAGAUCCUUAUUUUCCUUGUAAAUGAAAGUCAUGCAUUUGGAAUAAUAACAUGAAAUGAUGUGAA